rnacentral:rRNA from 1 species
UACAGAGGUCUCAAGCGUUGUUCGGAUUCAUUGGGCGUAAAGGGUGUGUAGGUGGCGCCGUAAGUCGGGUGUGAAAUUUCGGAGCUUAACUCCGAAACUGCAUUCGAUACUACCGUGCUUGAGGACUGGAGAGGAGACUGGAAUUUACGGUGUAGCGGUGAAAUGCGUAGAUAUCGUAAGGAAGACCAGUGGCGAAGGCGGGGUCUCUGGACAGUUCCUGACGCUGAGGCACGAAGGCCAGGGGAGCAAACGGG